rnacentral:rRNA from 1 species
GACGACCGCUGGCGGCGUGCUUAACACAUGCAAGUCGAACGGAGUGGCGAACGGGUGAGUAACACGGGGGUGACCUGCCCUGCACUUCGGGAUAAGCAUGGGAAACUGGGUCUAAUACCGGUUAGUGUGGGAUGGGCCCGGGGCCUAGCAGUUUGUUGGUGGGGUAAUGGCUGACCAAGUCGGCGACGGGUAGCCGGCCGGAGAGGGUGGACGGCCACAUUGGGCCUGAUACACGGCCCAGACUCCGACGGGAGGCAGCAGUGGGGAAUAUUGCCCAAGGGGCGGAAGCCUGAUGCAGCGACGCCGCGUGGGGGAUGACGGCCUUCGGGUGGUAAACUCCUUUCACCAUCGACGCGGUAGAUGGAGAAGAAGCACCGGCUAACUACGUGCCAGCAGCCGCGGUAAUAC